rnacentral:rRNA from 1 species
UGAAGGAACGUUGAAGACGACGACGUUGAUAGGCCGGAUGUGUAAGCGCAGCGAUGCGUUGAGCUAACCGGUACUAAUGAACCGUGAGGCUUAACCUUACAACGCCGAAGGUGUUU